GAUGAAGAACGCAGCGAAAUGCGAUAAGUAAUGUGAAUUGCAGAAUUCAGUGAAUCAUCGAAUCUUUGAACGCACCUUGCGCUCCUUGGUAUUCCGAGGAGCAUGCCUGUUUGAGUGUCAUUAAAUUCUCAACCUUUAUCUUUUAUUGAUAAAUGGCUUGGACUUGGGGGUUUGCUGGCGAAAGUCAGCUCCUCUGAAAUGUAUUAGCUGGUUGCCUUGUGUGAACUUGUCUAUUGGUGUGAUAAUUAUCUACGCCGUGGGCUGUUUGCCGUUUUAGCACUGCUUCUAACUGUCUGUUAACUCGGACAAUAUAUGACAAUUUUACCUCAAAUCAGGUAGGACUACCCGCUGAACUUAAGCAUAUCAAUAAGCGGAGGA
rnacentral:misc_RNA from 1 species